rnacentral:rRNA from 1 species
AACGAACGCUGGCGGCAGGCCUAACACAUGCAAGUCGAACGCCCUGGCAACAGGGAGUGGCAGACGGGUGAGUAACGCGUGGGAACGUGCCCUUCGGUUCGGAAUAACUCAGGGAAACUUGAGCUAAUACCGAAUACGUGCGAGAGCAGAAAGAUUUAUCGCCGAAGGAUCAGCCCGCGUCCGAUUAGCUAGUUGGUGAGGUAAUGGCUCACCAAGGCGACGAUUAGUAGCCGGUCUGAGAGGAUGAUCAGCCACACUGGGACUGAGACACGGCCCAGACUCCUACGGGAGGCAGCAGUGGGGAAUAUUGGACAAUGGGGGCAACCCUGAUCCAGCCAUGCCGCGUGAGUGAUGAAGGCCUUAGGGUUGUAAAGCUCUUUUACCCGGGACGAUAAUGGCUGUACCGGGAGAAUAAGCCCCGGCUAACUUCGUGCCAGCCGCCGCAGUAA